CAGAUAUUAGUUUAUAAAAAAUAUUAAUUUUGGAGAUUAAAGAUAGAUCUUAUUUAUAUCUGA
rnacentral:tRNA from 1 species